ACAAUGAAGAGUUUGAUCCUGGCUCAGGAUGAACGCUAGCUACAGGCUUAACACAUGCAAGUCGAGGGGCAUCAGGAAGAAAGCUUGCUUUCUUUGCUGGCGACCGGCGCACGGGUGAGUAACACGUAUCCAACCUGCCCUUUACUCGGGGAUAGCCUUUCGAAAGAAAGAUUAAUACCCGAUAGCAUAAUGAUUCCGCAUGGUUUCAUUAUUAAAGGAUUCCGGUAAAGGAUGGGGAUGCGUUCCAUUAGGUUGUUGGUGAGGUAACGGC
rnacentral:rRNA from 1 species